AAAUUUGCCUAAAUACUAUAUUGUCCCACAAUUAACAUGAUUUUCAGGGUAAAUUUUAAAAGAAAAUUCUCUCCUUGUAUAUCUCGCACUUAUUAUAUCGCUGUCCUACAGUGUUGACUACGUUAGUGAAUACUACCGUAUUGUAAUAUAAAUUAAUAUUCAUAGAAGUACGGAGAAAUGUUAUUCAAUCAUCCGAUCAAUCAGUCCCGGCUUUGAUAUUUUCUACCGCGUAAAUUUUCACCUAACGGACAAUAAUUGUUAUUAACAAUAACAAUCAUUUAUUAGUAAUAAUUAAUUAUUUUCUCUUAUUCUCGCGUCGGUACUAAAUGUACGUUAAUAAUUAGAAUAGUAGUUCUUGUUUGUGUCAGGUGUUUUAUGAGGAAUUGACAAGAACUGAUAUUGACGUUAUAAUGUGUGUGUCCGACAGGAGAUUACCUGGAGACGGUACGGAAUGUAAGAACCAUUGCAAGAAAUUCGAGUGGGUCGACAAUCGCAAGUUUUAUAACUUAAAUUGAGCUGGCCGUUAUAAUAACCGACAUUGCAAUAUUAUAAAAUAAAAGAAGAUCCUUUAAUUUCGAAGCUUUUGUCUUAGGUAUAAAAUCUUUAAGAUCUUUAAAAAUAUAAUCUUGAUGUAAAUAUAUUUCCCGUUCCGUUAUUCUUGAUAAGAACUGUAUGUCUUAAUUUUGAUUUUUAUUUUUAAUAGAGACAGAAAUAAUGAUUCUUAGAUUAAGAUAUAU